GCUGGGCUUGGUGGUGCACUCCUGUAAUCCUUGUGACUUAGGAGGCUGUGGCAGAAGGAUGGCAAGCUCAAAGCCAGCCUCAGCAACUU
rnacentral:sRNA from 1 species